rnacentral:rRNA from 1 species
GACAGAGGAUGCAAGCGUUAUCCGGAAUGAUUGGGCGUAAAGCGUCUGUAGGUGGCUUUUAAGUCCGCCGUCAAAUCCCAGGGCUCAACCCUGGACAGGCGGUGGAAACUACCAAGCUGGAGUACGGUAGGGCAGAGGGAAUUUCCGGUGGAGCGGUGAAAUGCGCAGAUAUCAGGAGGAACACCGGUGGCGAAGGCGGGUCUCUGGGCCGAUACUGACGCUGAGGAGCGAAAGCGUGGGGAGCGAACAAG